AGAGCGAACGCUGGCGGCAGGCUUAACACAUGCAAGUCGAACGCCCGGGCAACCGGGAGUGGCAGACGGGUGAGUAACACGUGGGAACAUGCCCUUCGGUUCGGAAUAACUCGGGGAAACUCGUGCUAAUACCGGAUACGUCCGUAAGGAGAAAGAUUUAUCGCCGAAGGAUUGGCCCGCGUCCGAUUAGCUAGUUGGUGGGGUAAAGCCCACCAAGGCGACGAUCGGUAGCUGGUCUGAGAGGAUGAUCAGCCACACUGGGACUGAGACACGGCCCAGACUCCUACGGGAGGCAGCAGUGGGGAAUAUUGGACAAUGGGCGCAAGCCUGAUCCAGCCAUGCCGCGUGAGUGAUGAAGGCCCUAGGGUUGUAAAGCUCGUUUCGGCGGGAAGAUAAUGACGGUACCCGCAGAAGAAGCCCCGGCUAACUUCGUGCCAGCAGCCGC
rnacentral:rRNA from 1 species